rnacentral:rRNA from 1 species
CAACCUGCCGCUUACUCGGGGAUAGCCUUUCGAAAGAAAGAUUAAUACCCGAUGGUAUAAAGAGUUCGCAUGUUCUCUUUAUUAAAGAAUUUCGGUAAGCGAUGGGGAUGCGUUCCAUUAGAUAGUUGGCGGGGUAACGGCCCACCAAGUCUACGAUGGAUAGGGGUUCUGAGAGGAAGGUCCCCCACAUUGGAACUGAGACACGGUCCAAACUCCUACGGGAGGCAGCAGUGAGGAAUAUUGGUCAAUGGACGAGAGUCUGAACCAGCCAAGUAGCGUGAAGGAUGACUGCCCUAUGGGUUGUAAACUUCUUUUAUAAGGGAAUAAAGUGAGGGACGUGUCCCUUUUUGUAUGUACCUUAUGAAUAAGGAUCGGCUAACUCCGUGCCAGCAGCCGCGGUAAUACGGAGGAUCCAAGCGUUAUCCGGAUUUAUUGGGUUUAAAGGGAGCGUAGGUUGACAUAUAAGUCAGCUGUGAAAGUUUACGGCUCAACCGUGAAAUUGCAGUUGAUACUGUAUGU